rnacentral:rRNA from 1 species
UAGGGAAUCUUCGGCAAUGGGGGGAACCCUGACCGAGCAACGCCGCGUGAGUGAAGAAGGUUUUCGGAUCGUAAAGCUCUGUUGUUAAGGAAGAACGAGUGUGAGAAUGGAAAGUUCAUACUGUGACGGUACUUAACCAGAAAGGGACGGCUAACUACGUGCCAGCAGCCGCGGUAAUACGUAGGUCCCGAGCGUUGUCCGGAUUUAUUGGGCGUAAAGCGAGCGCAGGCGGUUAGAUAAGUCUGAAGUUAAAGGCAGUGGCUCAACCAUUGUAAGCUUUGGAAACAGUUUAACUUGAGUGCAGAAGGGGAGGGUGGAAUUCCAUGUGUAGCGGUGAAAUGCGUAGAUAUAUGGAGGAACACCGGUGGCGAAAGCGGCUCUCUGGUCUGUAACUGACGAUGAGGGUCGAAAGCGUGGGGAGCGAACAGG